GACGAACGCUGGCGGCGUGCUUAACACAUGCAAGUCGAACGGAAAGGCCCUGCUUGCCGGGUACUCGAGUGGCGAACGGGUGAGUAACACGUGGGUGAUCUGCCCUGCACUUCGGGAUAAGCCUGGGAAACUGGGUCUCAUACCGGAUAGGAGCCAUUUUUAGUGUGAGGGUUGGAAAGUUUUUUCGGUGUAGGAUGAGCUCGCGGCCUAUCAGCUUGUUGGUGGGGUAAUGGCCUACCAAGGCGGCGACGGGUAGCCGGCCGGGGAGGGUGGACGGCCACCUUGGGACUGGGAUACGGCCCCGACCCCUACGGGAGGCAGGCGGGGGGAAUUUUGCACAAUGGGCGCAAGCCUGAUGGAGCGACGCCGCGGGGGGGAUGACGGCCUUCGGGUUGGAAACUCCUUUCGCUAGGGACGAAGCUUUUUGUGACGGUACCUAGAGAAGAAGCACCGGCUAACUACGUG
rnacentral:rRNA from 1 species